UGUCUUUGGACGCCGGAGUGAUUUCUGCUUCAUUCGACACAUCCUUGGAAAUGGGUAUUGUUGGUACAGUUGGAGGUACGUUAUGGUACAUUAACUGGACAGAGAGGACGUCUAUUCGUCUUGUCAGCAGUCAUACAGAGAAGAUAAAUUCACUGGUGGCCAGCGGUCCUGAUGACAAAUUCUUUGCGACUUGCUCCGAUGAUGGUAGCUUGAGAGUCUGGACUUCUGAUGACCUCGAACAAACGCUCCAAUUUCAAGUUGU